rnacentral:misc_RNA from 1 species
GAUGGAACUUCAAUUGUAGAAUGGAAUAUAGAUGGACUUUAUGAUUAUCAAAUCAAGAAUGUCAUUCAAUUCAUGACCAUGUACGCAAUAGCCGCAAGAGUUAAAGGGAAUAAUACUGAUCAAGCAAUAGCAAAAGCUAUCAUUGCUGGCUUUACUGGUCAAUUAAGAGGUUGGUGGGACUUUUCCUUAUCAGAAGAAGGAAA